GUUGUAAAGCUCUUUUACCAGGGAUGAUAAUGACAGUACCUGGAGAAUAAGCUCCGGCUAACUCCGUGCCAGCAGCCGCGGUAAUACGGAGGGAGCUAGCGUUGUUCGGAAUUACUGGGCGUAAAGCGCACGUAGGCUGUACAUCAAGUCAGGGGUGAAAGCCCGGAGCUCAACUCCGGAACUGCCCUUGAAACUAGUGUGCUAGAAUCUUGGAGAGGCGGGUGGAAUUCCGAGUGUAGAGGUGAAAUUCGUAGAUUUUCGGAAGAACACCAGUGGCGAAGGCGGCCCGCUGGACAAGUAUUGACGCUUAGGUGCGAAAGCGUGGGGAGCAAACAGGAUUAGAUACCCUGGUAGUCCACGCCGUAAACGAUGAUUACUAGCUCUCCGGACACAUGGUGUUUGGGUGGCGCAGCUUCGCAUUAAAUUAUCCGCCUGGGGAGUACGGUCGCAAGAUUAAAACUCAAAGGAAUUGACGGGGGUCAGCACAAGCCGUGGAGCAUGUGGUUUAAUUCGAUUCAAUGCGCAGAAUCUUACCAACGUUUGAAAUCCUCAUCGCGAUUACCAGAGAUGGUUUUCCUUCAUCUUCUCGCUGGAU
rnacentral:rRNA from 1 species